UACGAAGGGGACUAGCGUUGUUCGGAAUCACUGGGCGUAAAGCGCACGUAGGCGGAUAUGUCCGUCGGGGGUGAAAUCCCGGGGCUCAACCUCGGAACUGCCUUUGAUACAGCAUAUCUUGAGUCCGAUAGAGGUGGGUGGAAUUCCUAGUGUAGAGGUGAAAUUCGUAGAUAUUAGGAAGAACACCGGUGGCGAAGGCGGCCCACUGGAUCGGUACUGACGCUGAGGUGCGAAAGCGUGGGGAGCAAACAGG
rnacentral:rRNA from 1 species